rnacentral:lncRNA from 1 species
UUUCUUCCUUCUCUCUAUAAUGAGAAUAAAUAAAGUUUCCUUUCUUCCACAUUAUCAUCAUGUAGAUUUUAAUGGCUGAGGUCUCUCAGUAGACCAAGCAAAGGUCUGAUCCUGUGUGAACAUUGGGAAAACCCCUCUCUAGCAGAGAGAAGGAGGAAGGUGAAUCACUUCGUCUCAGCCAAGGACUCCAAAGCAAAUUGCAAGCCCGGUUCUGCGGUCCUUAUCCAGACAAGAGGCUCAGACUCAGUGGAAGCACCAGCAGAAUGAGGGCAACCAGGCUCAGGCCCUCACAGGAGAGAAUGAGAAGAGCGAGCAGGCCGAUGUGUGACAGCAUCAUGCUGCAUUACCUCCCUAGUGCCUGCAAAACAAAUCGGUUUUCCUGAUGCUGGGACUGGCAGCUAAUUUUUCUUCUGGAUUCCUCUAAUGUUUCCCUGGUGCAAGAAGCUACCGGCUCCUGACAGAGGUCACAGGGAAACUCAUUAAAAGUGCAGCCUCCCGUCACCUCCACGGAGGCAGCAAAACUCACAGAACGCUGGCGGGCUGCAGUGUUUUUAUAAAACAAUAAUCUCCCUGC